UGGGGAAAAAAUCCAUAGUGGGUUUCGAAAUGUACAUGGCAAGGCGGGCUGGGUCCAUCUACUCGUGCUGUUUACGCCAAAUCCUGACUCUGCCGUCAGCGUGAUGCAACAAGAACCGGGAUUCGACGGACCAGCCUUAUUCUAAAAUGGAUUUGGGAGAAGUCUCUGAAUGUCCAUGAGUGGUCCAG